GGCGACUUGGGGCAUGAAGGCCCGCUCUUGUAAAGCGGGGGUUACGGGUUCGAGUCCCGUAGUCGGCU
rnacentral:tRNA from 1 species